GCUGUUGUAGCUAAGUGGUUAGAGCAUUGGUCUGUGCACUCAAGGGUCUUGGGGUCGAUUCCCAGUUAAGGGCA
rnacentral:tRNA from 1 species